AGAGUUUGAUCAUGGCUCAGAUUGAACGCUGGCGGCAGGCCUAACACAUGCAAGUCGAACGGUAACAGGAAGCAGCUUGCUGCUUCGCUGACGAGUGGCGGACGGGUGAGUAAUGUCUGGGAAACUGCCUGAUGGAGGGGGAUAACUACUGGAAACGGUAGCUAAUACCGCAUAAUGUCGCAAGACCAAAGAGGGGGACCUUCGGGCCUCUUGCCAUCGGAUGUGCCCAGAUGGGAUUAGCUUGUUGGUGGGGUAACGGCUCACCAAGGCGACGAUCCCUAGCUGGUCUGAGAGGAUGACCAGCCACACUGGAACUGAGACACGGUCCAGACUCCUACGGGAGGCAGCAGUGGGGAAUAUUGCACAAUGGGCGCAAGCCUGAUGCAGCCAUGCCGCGUGUAUGAAGAAGGCCUUCGGGUUGUAAAGUACUUUCAGCGGGGAGGAAGGGAGUAAAGUUAAUACCUUUGCUCAUUGACGUUAUCCGCAGAAGAAGCACCGGCUAACUCCGUGCCAGCAGCCGCGGUAAUACGGAGGGUGCAAGCGUUAAUCGGAAUUACUGGGCGUAAAGCGCACGCAGGCGGUUUGUUAAGUCAGAUGUGAAAUCCCCGGGCUCAACCUGGGAACUGCAUCUGAUACUGGCAAGCUUGAGUCUCGUAGAGGGGGGUAGAAUUCCAGGUGUAGCGGUGAAAUGCGUAGAGAUCUGGAGGAAUACCGGUGGCGAAGGCGGCCCCCUGGACGAAGACUGACGCUCAGGUGCGAAAGCGUGGGGAGCAAACAGGAUUAGAUACCCUGGUAGUCCACGCCGUAAACGAUGUCGACUUGGAGGUUGUGCCCUUGAGGCGUGGCUUCCGGAGCUAACGCGUUAAGUCGACCGCCUGGGGAGUACGGCCGCAAGGUUAAAACUCAAAUGAAUUGACGGGGGCCCGCACAAGCGGUGGAGCAUGUGGUUUAAUUCGAUGCAACGCGAAGAACCUUACCUGGUCUUGACAUCCACGGAAGUUUUCAGAGAUGAGAAUGUGCCUUCGGGAACCGUGAGACAGGUGCUGCAUGGCUGUCGUCAGCUCGUGUUGUGAAAUGUUGGGUUAAGUCCCGCAACGAGCGCAACCCUUAUCCUUUGUUGCCAGCGGUCCGGCCGGGAACUCAAAGGAGACUGCCAGUGAUAAACUGGAGGAAGGUGGGGACGACGUCAAGUCAUCAUGGCCCUUACGACCAGGGCUACACACGUGCUACAAUGGCGCAUACAAAGAGAAGCGACCUCGCGAGAGCAAGCGGACCUCAUAAAGUGCGUCGUAGUCCGGAUUGGAGUCUGCAACUCGACUCCAUGAAGUCGGAAUCGCUAGUAAUCGUGGAUCAGAAUGCCACGGUGAAUACGUUCCCGGGCCUUGUACACACCGCCCGUCACACCAUGGGAGUGGGUUGCAAAAGAAGUAGGUAGCUUAACCUUCGGGAGGGCGCUUACCACUUUGUGAUUCAUGACUGGGGUGAAGUCGUAACAAGGUAACCGUAGGGGAACCUGCGGUUG
rnacentral:rRNA from 1 species